rnacentral:rRNA from 1 species
AGCGAACGCUGGCGGCAUGCCUAACACAUGCAAGUCGCACGGGGGGGCUUCGGCCUCCCAGUGGCGGACGGGUGAGGAACGCGUGGGGACCUGUCGAGGGGUGGGGGAUAACCGCGGGAAACUGCGGCUAAUACCGCAUGACGCCGCGGCGUGACAGCCGGGGCCAAAGGCGAAAGCCGCCCGCCGAGGGGCCUGCGUCCGAUUAGCUGGUUGGCGGGGUAGCGGCCCACCAAGGCGUCGAUCGGUAGCUGGUCUGAGAGGGUGAUCAGCCACACCGGGACUGAGACACGGCCCGGACUCCUACGGGAGGCAGCAGUGGGGAAUAUUGGACAAUGGGCGCAAGCCUGAUCCAGCAAUGCCGCGUGGGUGAAGAAGGUCUUCGGAUUGUAAAGCCCUUUCGGCGGGGACGAUGGUGACGGUACCCGCAGAAGAAGCCCCGGCUAACUUCGUG